UCCACAGAUCUUCUUUCCCUGACACAGAGAUUUGCUGGCUAAGCUAUUCAAUUUCAUCUAUUCUUGCAGACUUCAUUGUCUCAUUGUUAUGACAAACUGGAGCCAAAUUUUAAAAAUGUUUAAACCACAUUUAGAAGGUAGUUUCGAGUGACAGAAGCAUAUCAGCUAUGGAAGCAGAUGGAACAGAAUAAUGUUAAAGGGCC
rnacentral:lncRNA from 1 species